AACGAACGCUGGCGGCAUGCCUAACACAUGCAAGUCGAACGAGACCUUCGGGUCUAGUGGCGCACGGGUGCGUAACGCGUGGGAACCUGCCCUUAGGUUCGGAAUAACUCCCCGAAAGGGGUGCUAAUACCGGAUAAUGUCUUCGGACCAAAGAUUUAUCGCCUUUGGAUGGGCCCGCGUUGGAUUAGCUAGUUGGUAGGGUAAAAGCCUACCAAGGCGACGAUCCAUAGCUGGUCUGAGAGGAUGAUCAGCCACACUGGGACUGAGACACGGCCCAGACUCCUACGGGAGGCAGCAGUGGGGAAUAGUGGACAAUGGGCGAAAGCCUGAUCCAGCAAGGCCGCGUGAGUGAUGAAGGCCUUAGGGUUGUAAAGCUCUUUUAACCGGGAUGAUAAUGACAGUACCGGGAGAAUAAGCUCCGGCUAACUCCGUG
rnacentral:rRNA from 1 species